rnacentral:rRNA from 1 species
UGAGGAAUAUUGGUCAAUGGACGAGAGUCUGAACCAGCCAAGAAGCGUGAAGGAUGACUGCCCUAUGGGUUGUAAACUUCUUUUAUAUGGGAAUAAAACGUUCCACGUGUGGGAUUUUGUAUGUACCAUAUGAAUAAGGAUCGGCUAACUCCGUGCCAGCAGCCGCGGUAAUACGGAGGAUCCGAGCGUUAUCCGGAUUUAUUGGGUUUAAAGGGAGCGUAGGUGGAUUGUUUCGUCCGUUGUGAAAGUUUGCGGCUCAACCGUAAAAUUGCAGUUGAUACGGGCAGUCUUGAGUACUGUUGAGGUGGGCGGUAUUCGUGGUGUAGCGUUGAAAUGCUUAGAUAUCACGUAGAACUCCGAUUGCGAAGGCAGCUCACUGGACUGCAACUGACACUGAGGCUCGAAAGUGUGGGUAUCAAACAGG